rnacentral:rRNA from 1 species
GAUGAACGCUGGCGGCGUGCCUAAUACAUGCAAGUCGAGCGAACAGACGAGGAGCUUGCUCCUCUGACGUUAGCGGCGGACGGGUGAGUAACACGUGGAUAACCUACCUAUAAGACUGGGAUAACUUCGGGAAACCGGAGCUAAUACCGGAUAAUCUAUUGAACCGCAUGGUUCAAUAGUGAAAGACGGUUUUGCUGUCACUUAUAGAUGGAUCCGCGCCGCAUUAGCUAGUUGGUAAGGUAACGGCUUACCAAGGCAACGAUGCGUAGCCGACCUGAGAGCGUGAUCGGCCACACUGGAACAGAGACACGGUCAAGACUCCUAAGAGAGGCAGCAGUAGGGAAUCUUCCGCAAUGGGCGAAAGCUUGACGGAGCAACGCCGCGUGAGUGAUGAAGGUCUUCGGAUCGUAAAACUCUGUUAUUAGGGAAGAACAAAUGUGUAAGUAACUAUGCACGUCUUGACGGUACCUAAUCAGAAAGCCACGGCUAACUACGUG